CCAUCCCAUGCUCGCCGCAACUGUGCGCUACUACAGGAUGGUACUUGCUUUCGUUUACAUUUGUGUCAUCAUUUCUUACAAUCUAAUACCGAGUAAUACAAUUUUUCUUGUAUGAUUUGGGCUGUAGAAGCUGGUGGACAGAAGAAGAAAGGGCGAGGUGUUCUAAAGGGUUUUAAAGCAUCUAAGAAGCGUUUUGCCAAUGGAUCUUCAAAGCUAAAUAUUACAUUCUCUGAAAAAUUGGGUGGUACAGUAGGAAUGAACUAUCGUUCGUUCAAGGAUGACGUGGUAGUCAUAAUGAAAAGAAAGUUACCACUCAUUGGAGUGAGGACGUGGUCGAACAUUCACCCUACGAUUCAUCGACUCAUUGUUGCAGAUAUGAUAGUGCGUACAACCUUUUUGACAUGUGUUAUCUUAUUUUACCAUUGAUAAUGCACUGCUUAUGUAUAUUUAUUUGUUGUAUGCUUUACAGGACAGAUGGGACCUGGAAGAUACACCAGAAACAGAAGAAAAAGUUCUCAAAAUUGUGAAAGAGAGAUAUAGAGGCUGGCGAUCAACUCUAAGCUCCACUUACAAGGCAUACAAAAUAGAUGCAGCUAGAUUGGCUAAUCUGCCGGAAGAUUUACAACCAGAAGAGUGGGAAUGGAUGAUUGAGUACUUGGCACUGAUUCAAAAUUUCAGGUUAUCUCUAAGAUCACGGUUUGUCUAUUAUGUGUUAAGAUGAAAUGGCUAGUCUCACUAGUUAUAUAUGGUUUCAAUGAAUUGAUAGGAACGCAGCCAAAAGAACACCGAUAACCGUAAGAAACAGAAGAGAAAACACAUAAUCGGAUCAAAAUCUUACUCGCAAGUUAGUUUUGAGAAGAGAAACUUGGAAACUGGAGAAGAGCCAGAUUGUAUUGCUCUGUGGGAACUCACCCACACAAACGAUGGAACAUGGUCUAACACAGAUUCCCAGAAAGUUUACGACAAAGCACUUCAAGAGGUUAAAAACAAAGAAACUGUAACUAAAGGUCCACUUUCAAGUGAGCAGAAAAACAAUAUUUUCCAGACCGCUUGCAAAGACACUCUGGAAUGCAAGUCAUCGCAGCCUCGUGGGUACGGAUACAUGGCCAAAACUUCAACUGGUUCUGAAAGGUUCCGUAUCCAGAUUGAAGAGCAAGCUCGUGCUACAGCAGCCACCCAGGAGCAAAACUCUCAGCUCAGCC